AACAUGAUUGCUGCUGGAAUGGAAGAUUCUAGUAUUUUGAUCUAUAAUAUUCGGAUUGAUGAGGUUCAUAAUCUCGUGCUUUCUAUUUGUCAAACUAUGUCGAUUCUUGAUGCCUUCUAUAGUUUGUAUUGCUUUUGAAAUUCAAUAGGUAACUUCCUCUUUUGCAUUACUUUGAAAUCAUUGUCUAUAAUGUCACUUUCUUUCAGAUAUUUUGAAGGUAAAUGGAUGUAUUCAGGAACUCCAACUAAACAGUUCAGGUAUUGGAGAUGAGGGUGCAAGGGUUAUUGCAGAUAUGCUGAAAGAAAAUCAAACUUUACGUGUACUGGAACUUAACAAUAAUAUGAUUGAAUAUUCUGGUUUUGCAAGUCUUGCUGGAGCACUAGUUGAGAAUAAGGCAAUUCGAUCUAUACAUCUCAAGCUAAUAAGACUUACACACACUUAGAUUUUCUAUCCAUGCAGUUCUUUCUUGCAGAUUUAAUUUCUUCAUCAGAUCUGUUGGCUUUCCAGUAUUUAUUGAUUGUACUACUUCUCAGCAAUUAUGUAAAACUAUAUUUCUUCUUGUUUAGGAAAAAUAACACUUCUAGAUAUUGGCAACAAUGAGAUUGGUCCCAAAGGCGCCUUUAGCAUCGCUGAGUUUGUUAAGAAAACUAAGUCCUUGCUACGGCUGAAUCUUUACAUGAAUGACAUUGGCGAUGCGGUGUGGUUAUUGACUAUUGUUGCUUUAUGCUCUGUUGCUUCACUUCUGAAACAUAAAUUAUCAUCUAAGGUGCAUAUAUAUAUCUCAUUGGAAAUCAUAUAAAUGAAUUGAUGUUACUCAUCUUUAUUGCUGCUGAGGAAUU